UCCCAUUAAUUUUGUAAGUUUUCUUAAGUUCACUAAAAGGCAAAAUACCUUGAUCAUUACACAAGUCUCUUAUAGAGUGAAUACCUUUGAGAUGCCAAUGUCUUUUGAUGAGAUUCCUAUUU